rnacentral:rRNA from 1 species
CCUACGGGUGACAGCAGUGGGGAAUAUUGCACAAUGGGGGAAACCCUGAUGCAGCGACGCAGCGUGAGCGAGGAAGUAUUUCGGUAUGGAAAGCUCUAUCAGCAGGGGCGAAAAAAGACGGUACCUGACUAAGAAGCCCCGGCUAACUACGUGCCAGCAGCCGCGGUAAUACGUAGGGGGCAAGCGUUAUCCGGAUUUAUUGGGUUUAAAGGGUGCGUAGGCGGAAUGCCAAGUCAGCGGGAAAAUCGCGGGGCUCAACCUCGCUUCGCCGUUGAAACUGGCGUUCUUGAGUGGGCGAGAAGUAUGCGGAAUGCGUGGUGUAGCGGUGAAAUGCAUAGAUAUCACGCAGAACUCCGAUUGCGAAGGCAGCAUACCGGCGCCCAACUGACGCUGAAGCACGAAAGCGUGGGUAUCGAACAGGAUUAGAUACCCGGGUAGUC